rnacentral:lncRNA from 1 species
GUCGAAGUCCUUUUUGCCCCAGGCGAUAGGUCUCUAGACGUUACAGAGAACCCCGUACAACCCAAACUGUUAACCUUCAAUACCCCUUUGUACUUACGAUCUUGUAUCCACUGACUGUCUUGUUAGAUUAACCCAAUAAAUUUCAUUCACUCCGCAUACUCAAUCCUAUAGACACCCUUUUAAUCCUUCAAUCACAGACGUAACUCGAUUUCACAAAACAAUCAAGAGUAUUCAAACCCACUUCAUUUAAAAAUCCCGAUUCACCAUUACAACACUGACUUCAGCAGCGAUUGCCUCAAUCUU